rnacentral:lncRNA from 1 species
ACUAUAUGUAAUGAAUGUGUACUGUGCAUUGUGCUUAACAAGAAUGAGUGCAUUGUGCUUAACAAGAAUGAGUGAUGUCUAGCAAUAGUUUGUCUGUUCUGUAUAAAAUUUUCAUUAUUUGCCCUGAAUGCGAUUCUGGUUUACAAUAUAAAGAUAAUUCUGAACUGUUAUUUAGAUAAUUAGAUUGAUUAAACUGUUAUGAAUGAUUGAAUGAUUUCUAGUUUAUUUAGAUAAUUGUGAUUGAAAGGAUUUUAUUCGUUAACAUGUAGAAAUUAUGCCUCCCGUUCCUAAAUACAAACACCUAUCCGGCUUCAAGGAGUUGAUCGAGAGCUUUGCUUCAAAAAACGCUAGGAGAACCACAUUGUUUGCUUAGCAAUCGAACCCGCAACUCAUCGGAGUUCAUUCGAAGUUCACCAGAAGUCAUCGGAGACGCAGCCGGAAUUGUAACUCAUGACGGAGUGUAGCCCGAACCGUUUCGGAUAACCAUUCUCUUUCUCUUGGAAUUCUCCAUCCUUAUUCGUGCGUUACUUACAAGAAAUCGCAAUGCAAUCAAUGAUGAAAGGUCAAGGACAAGAAACAAGCUAGGAUGGAUUUUAGAAACCCAUUUUAGUAUUUCAAAUUUUUGUUGCACCUUUGUUUGUUUAUUUGAGACUAUGUAAUUCACUUUGGUUAUUAAUAAAAUGAUU